UCUCAAGACCCGCUCCGCUCUCCUUGACCUGCUGCUCUUCGAGUUGAUUACCCCGUUGAACCAGUCGUUCUUCCCUCUUGCUUUCCCAGCUCCUUCUUCCACUUUCAGAAGGACACGCAGAAGCCGAUUAAAUUCAAUACGCCACCUGCCCCUCCUUACAGCUCACAAACCCAUCCUCUUCUUUCCAAUUCCUCCUUUGCCUUGCUUUCCUUUCCUGCACAAUGCCUCUGUAUUUUUGUCGUCUCCUCUUCAUCCUCUCUACCUUUUUCGUCCGUACACAGUCACAACAACAUCCUCCUCCUCCAAAGCUCCCAGGGCUCCUCCUAGACUGUGGUACGUCAGCUCCAUUGGUCGACGAGCGUGGCCUCCAGUGGUUCCCGGACGGGGCCUAUAUCGGUGCCGGAGCGCCGCGCAACCUCUCGCUCUCUGGCCUCUUCCCGACCCUGUCUACCCUCCGUUCUUUCCCCUUCUCAGCUGGCUCCCCUUCCCGCAAGUACUGCUACGUGCUCCCGGCUGUCCGGCGCUCCCGCUACCUCGUCCGCACCACCUACUUCUAUGGCGGGGUCAACGGCGCGGGCGUGCCCCCGCCGGUCUUUGACCAGAUCGUCGACGGCACUUUCUGGACGGCGGUUAACACCACCCAGGAAUACGCCGCCGGCAUGGCCUCCUACUACGAGGGUGUGUUCUUGGCCAGGGGCAAGACCAUUAGCGUUUGUGUCGCUGGCAACGCGGCCUACACGCUCUCCGACCCCUUCAUCUCAGCUCUCGAGUUCAUCCGCUUGCCCGAUUCCGUCUAUAAUGCCACCGACUUCAACGAGAGCGCUAUGGGUCUUAUCGCCAGAACCAGAUUCGGAUCCACUGGACUGCCUGAGAGGUACCCAGAUGACAGGUUCGAUAGAUACUGGCAUCCAUUAACAGGCAGCAUGCAUGCGGUGGGCAGGACUCACAAUAUUACAGUGUCUGAGUUCUGGAAUAUCCCCCCGGCAGAUGUGUUCGACACUGCUAUUGUAGCAGAUCAAGAUAGAUCUCUGGUGUUGCAAUGGCCUUCUGUGUCGCUUCCAAACUCCAGCUAUUAUAUUGCUCUUUAUUUUGCUGAUACAGCGCCUAAUAGCUCCAGGACUUUCAAUGUUUUUAUAAAUGAUUACAGCUUCUAUAGUGGUUUAACAGUCACAUCAUCUGGCCUUUCUGUCUUUUCGACAAAGUGGAUUCUCUCUGGUUUGACAACAAUAACGCUCACUCCUGGUUCUACACUUCCUCCACUAAUCAAUGCUGGAGAGCUGUUUGGCCUAUUCUCUCUUGGAAAACUAACUUACACACGAGAUGUAAUUAACCUAGAAAAUAUAAAAAGAAGCAUAAAAAAUCCCCCUGAAGAUUGGAAUGGAGACCCUUGUAUGCCUCGAGGAUAUUCUUGGACUGGAGUUACAUGCUUUGAAGGAUCUCGAAUACGUGUUGUUGCGCUGAAUUUAUCAAGUAUGGGUUUGUCGGGAUUUCUGUCACCUAGCAUUGGUAAUCUGACUGCACUUACUAAUAUAUCUUUUGCAGAUAAUAACUUUUCCGGACCAAUUCCAGAACUUAGCCAACUAAAGAUGCUUAAGAAAUUACAUUUGCAGGACAAUCAAUUAACAGGAAAAAUUCCCCAUACAUUGGGAAAUCUUAAGAAGCUGCAUGAGCUAUUCUUGCAGAACAAUAACCUGACUGGUGAAGUUCCAGCCAAUUUACUUCAAAAACCUGCAUUGAACCUUAAGCUUCUGCCCGGAAACAAUUUUUCCCCAAGCACUCCAACUUGAGAAGAGUCAUACAUCUUCGGUCGUGGAAUUGUGCAUAUUUACUAUUCUGCACGUGGCACCCCUACCCUUCCUCCAUUCCACGUGGUGAACCGUUCACAACGGCCGCGGCGCGCAAGGGCCCCGAUCCGCCUCCGGCGAUGCCGCCGCGGCGAGGGCGACGAGGACGAUGUCGAGGAGCUUCUGCUACUCUCGGAUCUGGUCCACGCCGUCGCGCACGGCGUUGCGCACGUCGAGCGCCUUCACCACGCGGUCGAAGAAGCCCGCGAGGAGCCGAUCCAGUGGCGGCGGCGGUGGCGUCGCCUGGGCGCCGCUAUUGAAGAGGAGGACGCGGAACUCCUCCAAGCAGAUGAGGAACACAGCAGUUUUUGUACACGUGGCAGAAGAGCGAGCGGGGGGCGAGCGUGGGAGCGGGCGCACGCGCGGGAGCGAGCGAGGCGGGGUGGGG